UCUAACCAAAUUCAGUUAUUAUCCUCACAUCAACAAGCAGGUUCAAGAUGAACACAUAGUGUACAACAAUGAAAAUAUGUUCACAAACAUGAAUAUACAUUGAACCCAAGUUUAUAAACACAUCAAUCUGGACAAAUCAUAAUUUUGACCAUCUUAAUAAUCACCCAGAACACAUGAGUCACAAAAAAUAUCAUUUGUUAAUUGUUGUGAAAAAAGUACAACGGAUGAGCAUAGUACACUGUCUAACUAAAAGUUGAUGGAGUAGCUUGUUGUUUGUCAGCACUCUAGAUGAUUUUCUCUUGGCUGUCAAGUUUGGAUGGAUUGCUUACGACCAUCAUGCUUUAUCAGCGUUCUCUUCAUCACAUAAUGCUUUGCGUCUCCAGAUCUUGGGCUCUUCUUGUUGUUGUUGGUCCCCAUGAUUAGAUAGUUCGCUUCGAACCUUCAUGCUUUGUGUCGUUAUUUUCUAAAACCAAAGAUAAUUGCUUCUUUUCCUUGUAGACAUUCCUGAAAUAAGAAACAAAUGACCAUAGGAUGACCGAUCUUUAGAUAAUAACACGGGAAAAGGCACUAUUGAUAUUUUGCUACAGAUCUUGCUCAUAUGGUUGGUAGAAAGAUGACAAUUUACGGGUAUACAAAGCCGGACUAUGUAUGCUGGAAGGAAUCGCUUGAGGCCUAUCCUUGAAUCGGUAGGGGUAAAGAAUAAUAGGCAUACUUAAUUGAUCAAUGCCCAACAGAAUUCAUAAUGCACAUGGAUCAAAUUAUGUGUGGGAGCAAAGUACGCUACAUAAAGACUAUGACUAUGGUGUGGAUGAACUGAUAUGUGUAUUUUAACUCCUAAGCAAUGUAUGUGCGUAUAAAGAUCAUGUUGAGCCAUUUUGAUAUUUUUAAUUAUAAACUGCAGUAUGUGGAGCUCAGUUUUGUAUCAACAAGAUACAAAAUUUUAUCUAGUAAUUCUAUAAGUUCACACAGAAAUCUGGUGCUAUUGUCAAGGCUAAAAAAUGAUAGAUUUAUAUUUCUAAGAGAUAAACAAUAAACUUAAUGUAUGUGGUAUGUUGUAGUACCUACACAUCCUAGUAUUAAUGUAUGUAGUAUGUUGUAGUACCUGCACAUCCUAGUACAUUAGUUGCUUUCUUGUCAUCCUUGAUCAUUUCAGUAUGUAGAGGUGUCUCGGUAGACGAAUAUCAGUAUAAGAUAAUUUCAAAAGAAGAUGACCAACGCGACGCAAUACAAGCAGAUCUCUUGCGAACUAGCCUACAAGAGAAAAAAUAAAUAACAUGACAUGAUGAUUUUUUUUAGAAGUCAAGACGUACUAAUUACAUGUAGUUUAGAUGAAUAAGAUUCUUCGGAGGUACAUAUAGUAUCGAGGCUAGGAGCUACACGAGUAACACCACUGUUGGAUAUAACAACAUGCGAAAGCCGGAACGCCGGUAUGCUACAAUAGCCACUUGGUACCCUUACUCCAUUGGAAUCAAUACCUGCUACACCACAUUAUUAGUGUAGCACUUAUGUACGUAAGCUAUAGACAUGGUAAUAACAUUAUGAGAAGCAUGGACGGUUGUCAGGACCCAGUGUCUGAAUUCAGAUUCAGUCGAAACAUUUCAAAUGAAGAACCUUGGCGGGAAGCAACCACGACCGUCCAUCACUGAUCCAACGCCUCCCAGGCUUCCGUGCCGCUUUGCUGAAUGAAAGGCCCCGACAACCGUUGAUCCUCGAUCGAACGGCGAUCCCAGCGUCGGGCGUUACUGUCGUUCAUCCGGCACGCUUUUCAUUUUUGUUUUCGUUUUAGCUUUACCGUUCCUCGCUUUUGUAAGUCUAUAUAAGCCAUGAUUCCAGCUCGAUCAGGGCAUGACAUUCUUCUAGGGUUUCCCCCUAUUGCGCCGCCAGUGUUCCUGGUUGGCAACCUUGUACCAGCUCCCAAGCUACUUCCUUAAAUUCGCGAGUAAAGACGGCUAGUUCGAGUGCAUUUCUUCUAUGUUCAGUUCUUCAGACUAGCAAGGUCUGAUAAUGGUAUUCAGAGCCAGUCUCUCCUCGGUGUUUUUUUGGAUCUGGUGGCAGGGAUGAUGUGGGACGAGUUGUAAAAUCCCUCUCCCUCCCUCCCUAUCACGGCGACGGUGAUACUCUGCUGGCACUUGUGGCGGCGAUCAUUCAGUACUGGUAUGGUGAGGUUAGUGGUUUCAAAAGCUACCUGCUUGCGCGGUAAAAUCCCACCACCCUCCGGGAUCCGGUGUACUCUGGUGGCGCGCCAAAGGCGGCGGUGCAGGAGGCGGCAGGACUAACAGCACAAAGAUCGGGUUGCAGCUUCGGUCGUGGUAAAAUUCCUCUCCUUGCGCUUGUUGGUCACCGCAGUGAGGUACUUGGCUCACCACCAACUAGAAACCCUCCCUGCGUUCUCUCAUGCAAAAGAUGGUAGGACCAUCCGACUCCUCUUCCACAGAUCAGCUGGAGUUCACCUCCCUGCAACUUGAUGUCCAGAUGAUGCAGAAAAACAGAGAGCAGAAUCGGCUAGAGUUUGAUGAGUUGAGAGAUUUUGUGCAUGAUAAUUUUCAGUCUCUGCACAAGACCCUUGGUGACCUGCAGAGUUACUUGUCCACUUUCAUCUCUGCUUUUCCCAAACCAAGAGAAGUGCAACCCAUCCCUCAGGAUGUUCCCCAAGCCAGCACCAUUGCUCACACAACACGAGGCACUGUGAACAAGUUCCAGGAUGCUCGACAGUCCCCUGCUAUUGUGGGUUCUGCUACUUUGGUGGACAAAAACACUGGUAAGGAACUUAAUUUGGAUGGUACUCACAAGCUUCCUUACAAACAUCCACACUUUGUUGAGAACAGGCAGUCAAAUGUUGAGGUUAAAACACAAACUGCUGCACACCAAGUUGGACCUGCCCAACACGUGAUUAAUAUGGAGGAGGAACAAGGGGAUGGACUCAAUGCUCACCUUGACAGGAGAUUUGGUAUUGCAAAUAGGGAGUUGGCCCAAGAUAACAGAAGAGUAGAAACCCUGGUGAAGCCUGCCAAGUACAAUAUUCCUAAAUUUGAUGGUACCAGCACUGACUCAUGGACUCAAACAAUUGAGAUGUACUUUGUAGCUGCUAGAACUCCCUUAGAACAGAAAAAUUAAAUUACAGUGACUUACCUAAAAGGGCCUGCAAUUGAAUGGUGGAGAUGAACAGGGAUAAUUGCAAACACUCUGCCCUGAUACAGGUUUUGCAGACUUCUUGGAGAUAGGUUCUCUGAAACCUCUGUGUGUGACAAUGUCAGAACAUCCCAUGCACUUAAUCAAACUGGGACUGUAAAUGACUAUGUGCUAAAGUUUGAACAGUCCAUGAACUUGAUCACAAGAGAUAACCCUGCAUUACCACAGGAUUACUAUAAAGCUAGUUUCAUUGCUGGCCUGAGUGACAACAUUCAGCAUCAUGUUCAAUGUCAUGAACCACCUGAUCUGCAAAAAGCUAUUUGGUUGGCCAGAAGAAUAGAACAAGCACAACCAGCUAAGAAAAUUCCCCUGCCUUUUCUAAAUCAGGCAGUUAGGAGGCAAAUCAAGUUUGAUCCUCGCAAACAACCUUCUAAUUCAACAGCUACUAAAAUUCAACAAGAAAAAAUGAAAGGUAUCUGCUACAAGUGGAAAGAUCCAUGGUUCCAGGACAUAAAAAGGUUUGUAAGCUAGCAAACCAAAUACAAACCCAAGCAAUGCAAGAAUGUUAUCCUCAAGAUGCAGAGUUAGUCUAUUACACUGCUGAUAAUGAGGAAGCAGAACCCCCCCCCCCCAUGUGUAGAUUCUGAUGAUCCCCCUCUUCAAAUAUCCAUGCAUGCACUUAUGGGAAUUAGAUCUACAAGGAAGGUCAGUUUCACUGUUACUGUAAUGCUGGGAAACACUCCUGCGACUGCCCUCAUUGAUAGUGGUGGUAGCACUGCCACAUUCAUCACACCAAACAUAGCUAAGACAACAAAUUGUGCCCUUACACUAACUAAAAGAAGACAGGUGAUAGUAGCUAAUGGUGAAACUCUCUCGUCACAAUUCAUUGCACUGCAGUGUCCCUUUUCCUUGCAGGGUAUACAAUUCUUCACUGAUUUCAGAGUUCUUCAACUACAAGGAUAUGAUGUCAUUCUAGGAGCUGACUGGAUGGCUUCAUUCAGCCCUGUGGAAUUAGAUUUUGAUGAAAUGCAUGUCAAAGUCACCUUACCUAGAGGAGAAAUAAAACCUUUCAAGAUGAAAGCUUACCUGCUAUUCCAAUCAAAGAGAUUGAUAGUAAAGAAGCAGUUUCAACUGAACAUGUCUGUGGAGUUGUUCUGAUACUGAACAGAAUUACUGUACAAGAACCACUGGACCAGGUUAUUCCUGAACCAGUGCAAAAAAUCCUACAAAACUACUCUCCUGUUUUCAGCACCCCAACUACAUUACCUCCAAAAAGAGCUAUUGAUCAUGUCAUCACCUUCACCCCCCAAGCAAAGGUCAUCAAUCAGGGACCUUAUAGAUUAUCUCACCACCAGAAGGAUGCCAUGGAAAGUAUAAUUCAAGAUAUGAUCAAAUCAAAAGUUAUAAGGGACAGCAAUAGCCCUUAUUCCUCCCCAGCUCUUUUGAUGAAAAGGAAGGACAUGACAUGGAGGUUAGUCAAUGAUUUCAAAAAGGUUAAUGAGCGAACUGUCAAGAACAAGUAUCCAAUCCCUGUAAUUGAGGAUCUCUUGGAUGAAUUAAAAGGAGCAACAGUAUUCUCAAAGCUGGAUCUCAGAAGUGGUUACCACUAGAUAAGAAUGCAGGAAGAAGACAUUACAAAAACUUCUUUCAGCACACAUUGUGGCCACUAUGAAUACUUAGUGAUGCCCUUUGGACUAACUAAUGCUCCUGCUACAUUCCAGCUACUAAUGAAUACCAUUCUAGCUCCUUAUCUGAGAAAGUUUGUCCUGGUUUUCUUUGAUGACAUCCUGAUCUACAGCAAAUAUAUGAAGGAACACGUUCAAGUGGUUCUAGAAGCCUUAAAGUCCAAUCAGCUUUAUGCAAAACUUAGCAAGUGUUCCUUUACACAACCACAGGUAGAAUAUAUGGGACAUGUCAUUAGAGGUGAUGGAGUGGCUACUGAUCCAACCAAGAUUGAGGCAAUCACACAAUGGCCAACACCUGAAAAUCUAACACAAUUGAGAAGUUUCUUGGGCCUUACUGGCUAUUACAGGAGGUUCAUUGAACACUAUGAUUUUACCUGCAAACCUCUAUUCCAGUCCAUGAAGAAAGACAAUUUCCAAUGGGGUACUAAUCAAAUGGAAUAUUUUAACAUACUGAAACAUAAGAUGACUCAAGCCCUAGUCCUGGCACUCCCUGAUUUUUCUCAACCAAUCAUCCUGGAAACAGAUGCUUCUGCAUAUGGAAUAGGUGAUGUCCUAAUGCAAGAGGGUAGACCUCUUUCUUAUUUUAGCAAAACAAUUGGGCCAAAAGCAGCUGCUAUGUCAACUUAUGAUAAAGAAGCUAUGGCAAUCAUUGAAGCACUAAAACACUGGAAACACUACUUUGUUGCUUCCUCAAUUAUCAGGACUUACCAGCAAAGUUUGACAUAUAUUCAGGAACAAAAACUUACAGAGGGAAUUCAGCAUAAACUCCUGAUCAAAUUGUUGGGCUACAGUUUUAAGAUUGAAUACAAACAAGGGAAGAACAACAAAGUUGUUGAUGCAUUAUCCAGAUUUAAAUGCAGACUGUAAUCACUAAUAGCUAGUCAAGCUCAGCCCUUUUGGCUAUCUGAAGUGGUUGCUAGUUAUGCUCGAGAUCAGAUGCAAGGAUCUACUGUCCCAACUAGCUACAUCAGCUACUGAUGUUCCUAAUUAUGCUCUCCAGCAGGGGUUGAUAAGAUAUAAAAACAGAACUGUUAUUGGGCUGGACAAUGCCCUAAGAACAAAAUUGGUCGGCUUUGCCCAAUUCUGAACUGGGUGGCCACUCUGGACAUAGAGCAACAUAUCAGAGAAUGAAGCUCCUUUUCCACUGGCCUGGCAUGAAUAAGUUUAUUGUGGACCAUAUUAAACAGUGCCCAACUUGCCAAAUUAACAAGCCUGAACACUGCAAGUACCCAGGUCUGUUGCAACCUCUUCCAGUUCCUGAUUUUGCUUGGUGUCACAUUAGCAUGGAUUUCAUUGAAGGCCUUCCAACUUCACAAGCCAAGGACAUGAUUCUUGUGGUGGUAGACAGAUUCACAAAAUCCACCCACCUCAUUGCAAUGAAACAUCAAAUAAGUGUGAGCACUGUAGCUGAAGCUUUUAUAGAGAAUAUCUUCAAGCUGCAUGGUCUCCCUUCAAUUAUUGUCACUGACAGAGACAGGAUCUUCACAAGCAAUCUUUGGCAGGAACUAUUCAAGAAGUUGGGUAUAAAACUCCACAUGAGUACUUCCUACCACCCCCAGUCAGAUGGACAAACAGAGAGAGUCAACCAAUGCUUGGAAAACUAAAACUACUUCAGAUGCAUGGCCUUCUUACAACCUAAAAAAUGGUUGCAUUGGCUUCCAUUAGCUGAGUGGUGCUACAACACUAGUUACCACUCUUCCCUCAAGCUCACCCCUUUCCUAGCAUUGUACAACAGCCCCCCUAACAUGUUGUCUAAGGCCACCCUGUAUCCUGCUGAUCUGACUCGGAGUUUUCCUCAAUCCUUACUAUAGAGAAAAUUGCAGCCCAGAUUAAAGGGAAUCUUCUCAAAGCUCAAGAGAGGAUGAAAAUGUAUGCUGACAGAAAAAGGUCUGAAAGAACAUUGGAAGUUGGGGAUAUGGUCUACUUGAAGUUGCAACCUUAUAGACAUACAACACUAAGCUUACACAGGUGCCUCAAAUUACACUCCAAGUACUAUGGGCCUUUCAGGAUCAUCCAAAAGGUAGGACAUGUAGCUUAUAAGUUGCUCUUACCUGAGCACUGCAAACUUCAUCCUACAUUCCAUGUCAGCCAACUGAAAAAGAACCUUGGACCACAAGCUAUUCCGAAUCCCAACCUUCCAUUACUCCAUGUUGAUAGUACAAUCCGGUUGGAGCCUGAAAGACUACUGGACAGAAAACUAAUUCCAAGAGUAGAGGGAGAUGUCCAGAUUCCAAUGGUCAGAUGGCUAAUCAAAUGGACUAAUCUGGAGGAGCGGGAUGUAACCUGGGAGGAUGCCUCGUUUAUUCAGAAGAUUUUCCCAACAUUUGAGCCCUGAGGACAAGUCUGAUGUCGAUCUGGGGGAGUUGCCAGGACCCAGUGUCUGAAUUCAGAUUCAGUCAAAACAUUUGAAAUGAAGAACCUUGGCGGGAAGCAACCACGAUCGUCUAUCGCUGAUCCAACGCCUCCCAGGCCUCCGUACCGCUUCGCUGAAGGAAAGGCCCCGACAACCGUUGAUCCUCGAUCGAACGGUGAUCCCAGCGUCGGGCGUCACUGUCGUUCAUCCGGCACGCUUUUCAUUUUCGUUUUCGUUUUAGCUUUACCGUUCCUCACUUUUGUAAGGCUAUAUAAGCCAUGAUUCCAGCUCGAUCAGGGCAUGACUUUCUUCUAGGGUUUCCCCCUAUUGCGCCACCAGUUUUCCUGGUUGGCAACCUUGUACUAGCUCCCAAGCUACUUCCUUAAAUUCGCGAUUAAAGAUGGCUAGUUUGAGUGCAUUUCUUCUGUGUUCAGUUCUUCAGACUAGCAAGGUCUGACAACGGUUCGACAGAAAAAACAAAGUCAAGAAAUAUAAUGUAUGAAUGGUGGUGGAUUUCAAGAUCGAGAAGCUUUUAGAAGUCCAAGUCUGAGUAAAAAACUGUACCGGGAGAACCUAGCAGUAUUGGGUUAGACAUUGUCGAUGUUGAAGACAUUGUUGCUACCUGUUUGUGUGGGGUGUAAAUGUUCGCUGUUCAAACAUGGUAGGUGGUAAAUAUAUGUGGUCUCUCCAAUAACAUGCAGCGAUGCAGCUAGAGGAAACCAAUAACUAAAUAUUGAAAUAAAAACUAUGGAAAUUGUUGUCCAUAUAAUAGAUUUUGGAAAGAAAGACAACACAUCACUACAUUAUCCUAUAGCUUUCAGCUCUAGACAAUUCUGAACACAAGAUGAUUAAUCUAAAUUUUCUCGGUUCCCAAUAAGAAUUUAUAUUACCUAAAUAUUUGAUGGAAAAAAGGUUAGCCGGGAGGCAAAACAAAUAUUUAAUUAUUAAUUCUAUGAGUAAAUAUUUGUUCGGACGAAGGUAUAAGAGUAUGUACCAAUUCUCGGGAAAAUGGGGAAGAUAGCACAGAAUCGCUGAUAUUACCAUCCGGUGACCAUCUAGUGGGAGUUCACUUAUAUGUACGUGUGCCCAUGCUUAAAUAAUGCAGACUAGAUAAGUGUGGAUGGACUUAGCUUGUCGAUCGAAUUAGAUAUUGUAUAGAGGCACCUGUAAAACAUCAUCAAUUGCUAUACAAAAAAGAUGCAAUGGGAGAGUUAAAGAGAAGUCAAUACCAUAAAUUGAUUUGCUUGUCUCUUCAGGUUGAGUUUCAAGAUGAAUACUCGCCUCUUUGAGAUUUUUUUCCACGUGUGAACAAUCUCUAUCUUAUCCUACCUAAAAAUGAGGAUCAAAAGGUAUGAACAUGAGUAGGGAUGGAGCAACGUAGCAUAUGUUCUGGCUGACUGUCCUUGAGGCCAUGAGGAGUGAAUCCGAUCUGGUCCAGGUUGUAGGUCUUCUUGCAAAGCCUAAUGCAGUUGACGUUAGCUUGGUGGUGGAGACUAACUGUGAGGCAUGCGACAUGCCGCAGGGCCAAAGUAGAUCUGUGUGUUUUCAAACAAACAAUUAACAAACAGAUGAUAUGAAUGACCAGGUCACCAAAAUAUUUUUGUGGAUCAGUAAUGAGAAAUGUGUAAAUUUGUUCAAACACAUAAUUUACUGCUAUGUAUUAAGAACUUAAGAUCUGAGUAUAAUAUAGUAGUGGAUUGUUGUUUACUAAUAGGCAGAUAAAUCAGAAGCUAACACGGAUUAGGUAAUGAAAAAGCGAUAAGAAUAAAAAAGAUGUAUCGAUCCACCAACUUGCUUGCUUCUCGCUUGCAUGUGCCUAGGCCUAGACUAAGAAUCGAUCCACCUUCUUGCUUGGUUGGUUGCUGCUAGCUUGCACGCAUGUGUUGUUCUCGUUCCUGCUUGUUGCAGUACCCUAAUUUUCAGAGUUCAACAAUGCCAUAUGGUUUAAAGUUCAGGAAUGUACAAGCAAGCAUCACACAGCAGUACAAAGAGGAUAUCCCAGGAGGAGCCGAUGCUUACCUAUUGGAAAAGACGAGUCUUGUGCGGAGACCUGCAGCAACGGCUGGCUGGCUUCGGGAGGGGCGCAGCGGGAUGGGGAGCUCGUGGAUUCAUGUGUACCGGCAACAACGGGGACGGGGAGCACAGAUGGAGAGCUCGUGGCUGGGACGGGGAUAGGGGUGGGGUGGAUCCCUGAGCACGACGAGGGCGGCUGGAUCUCAGGCGGAGCACGAGGAUGUCAGGCUCUAGCUACUCACUAGGGAAGAAACAUGCAUCGACAACCAAUUUCAGAGGUCGAGAUUAGAUCGGGAAGUGUUUCUAUUGCUUGGAAAUUGGGGAAAAUGGAUAGAGCUCGCCACAGGCGGCUAGGGUUUUUACCCAAACAUGUCUCUAAGGGCUGGUAUGAGAGGCAUUUAUAAGCCAG
rnacentral:lncRNA from 1 species